rnacentral:rRNA from 1 species
GACGAACGCUGGCGGCGUGCUUAACACAUGCAAGUCGAACGAUGAAGGAGGAGCUUGCUCCUCCGGAUUAGUGGCGAACGGGUGAGUAACACGUGAGCAAUGUGCCCUUGACUCUGGGAUAAGCGCUGGAAACGGCGUCUAAUACCGGAUACGACCCUCGGAGGCAUCUCCUGUGGGUGGAAAGAACUUCGGUCAAGGAUCAGCUCACGGCCUAUCAGCUUGUUGGUGAGGUAAUGGCUCACCAAGGCGACGACGGGUAGCCGGCCUGAGAGGGUGACCGGCCACACUGGGACUGAGACACGGCCCAGACUCCUACGGGAGGCAGCAGUGGGGAAUAUUGCACAAUGGGCGCAAGCCUGAUGCAGCAACGCCGCGUGAGGGACGACGGCCUUCGGGUUGUAAACCUCUUUUAGCAGGGAAGAAGCGAAAGUGACGGUACCUGCAGAAAAAGCACCGGCUAACUACGUGCCAGCAGCCGCCGUAAAAC